rnacentral:rRNA from 1 species
UACGUAGGGCGCAAGCGUUAUCCGGAAUUACUGGGCGUAAAGGGCGCGUAGGCGGCAGGCCAAGUCGGGAGUGAAAGCCCGGGGCUCAACCCCCGGAAUGUCUUUCGAAACUGGCCAGCUGGAGUGCGGAAGAGGCAACUGGAAUUCCCAGUGUAGCGGUGAAAUGCGUAGAUAUUGGGAAGAACACCUGAGGCGAAGGCGGGUUGCUGGGCCGACACUGACGCUGAGGCGCGAAAAGCCAGGGGGAGCCAAAACGGGG